rnacentral:lncRNA from 1 species
AUUAGUCUCGUCAAACGUUAGACUAAACUCUAGUGGUAAUGAUACUAGGUUUCGUCAAGGGAUAAUUGUUUUAAGAGUAACGAAGUGUUGUCCGAGUGCCGACUCACCACCUUACCAGGUGAGUGCAUAGUACCUUUCAUAUUACACAUAGAUAUGAAGUAUUUUAAUAUAAAUUACGUGCUAUGUGUGGAUAUUGUCUGAAUACUUGCUGUCUAUACUGAUGAAAGAUUUUUAUACAUGAUGUAAGCUAUAUAAAGUAUUUUAUAUCUACAAAAUAUGUUGGGUAAAACAUGGGUAGAUGAAUGAUGAGGGAUAAAAGUUGAAAUAGAGGAACAUUAGUAGUACGGACCUAGUGCCCUAUAGGUAUACAUUGGCAGCAGUGAACCUAGUACCCUAUAGAUGAGCACUGGCAGUUGCGCUACAACCCGUAGAUGAUUUAGAUCUACGGUAAACGUCCUAGCAAUUGCGCUCUAAGGACACUAUAGGCAUCUGCGCCUAAUAGGGAGCCUUAUGACCAUGAAAGUUGCGUUUAAAGGUCAAUACCGACAGAAGCGCCUCAUAGAAAAUGUCCCAAUUCUGGCAGCUACGCCUAAGUGAUAAUAUUAGCAGCUGCGCUUGACCAAUGUGUCAUUGACAACAAUGGACUUCAUGUUGUUUCCUUAGGAUGAUCCUUAGGAAUGAAUGAAUGAGAAAUAGCUGAUUCUUAGGGUAGAUCCUUAAGAAUAAAGAAGAUAAUGGGGAUGGGUAAUUGGGUUGAUUGUUUGAUUGUUUAAACAUAAUAAUUAUAUUAUUGUGGGUUGUAAAACCUAUGUACUCACCAGGUUUCCCAACUUGACCCACUCAGUUUAUUUAUAUCACAGGUGUCGAUAUGAAGUCACAUUACACUGAGAGAUUUAAAAGAGAUGUAGAUCACUAGUGUAAAUGAAUGUAAGUUCUGUUUAUGCUUAUGUUUCUGUAUUGACGAUGACAUCCCAAAUGUUUUAAAAGUGAAUAAAAAUAUAUUUCUUCAGAAAUGCUUUGAUAACGCGAUUAUCAUGUUUUUCUAGGAACAAAUUCCGCAACAUUUUUAUUAAAAGAGAUACUCUGAUUUUUAUAAAGCAUAAAUAAAAUCGGUCUUUUCUGGCCGUGAAAAUGGGGAUGUCACAGUUGGUAUCAUAGCAUUAGUUUAAGCGAACUAGGAAUUUGUAGGAUUUCUAGACUUAAACUUAGAAUGCUAAGCGAUGAUUGUGAGGUGUGAGCACUAGUUUAUUUUAGGAAAGAUGCCUAAAAUGUUUUAUGUGCUAAAUGUUUUAUGUUAUAGCUAUAAAGAUGCCUUAUAUGCUAUUAUUUGUUCGGAUCUAUGGUCUGUUGCCGACCGGAUCUGGAAAUUUUAUGUGUUCAGAUUUCAAAACAUUUGAUUACAGUAUUAGAACUGGCAUAUAACUUUUCGGUGUGACAAGGAGAUCUAUACGUCUAUCAUAAAUAAAAUCUUUCCUAUCUUUAAAUUCUCGCCUCGGUACACUGAACGUCUGUUUGGGUGUACAAAAUGUCAUGGUGAAGACAGACUAGGAAAUAUCCGAGGAAGAUGACAACUUGAGCCUAAGAAUGUGAUGGGUCAUGCAUCGGUCAUUGUGCCUGCACCCAAACCUUUCACAAUGGCAGAAGUUCAAAAACUGAUGCGAACCAUGAUAGACUGAGAAAAUAAAGGAAAUCAGAUGGCUUACGAUGGUGAAUGAUACCUAUCGGAAGAUAUCAUAAGAGGUACCUUGCCUUUAGAAUACGUCUGAUAAAAUAGCAGUACAUCUAGAGAAGUACGGUACAUCUGAAUGUACACAUUUGAUUGGCGGGAUGAUAGAACGAUUGGUGUAAUUCCUAAAGUUUUCCUAUCAUCUGGAAUUUCCACCACCAACCGAGUUGAAGCAGAAUUGAUGAUUGAAGAUACUCAUGGAAGAAGUCCUAGUAGAGUCUAGGGAAAUUUUUAUGAUUUUUUGGACACAUUUAUAUGUGUUAAAAAAUUGUUUUUUUGUGAUAAUGACUUGGAAAACUACGAGACAAUACUUGGGAUGAGUAUGAGUAGGUGUGAAUGGUAGUAGAGGCCUAUACUACCGGAAGCACAUGACUCACACUUGGAUCAGGGAAAGUCAAAAGGUUACCAGAAGCUAGUAAUUGAUUUCAUUUUAUUCAAGUAUGCUGUUACCAUUGUUUCGGUAAUGACUAAGAAGAUUGUUGUUAUCCCGACCCUAGUGGUCAUAUUACAUUGAGUCCGACUACGAUGAGUAGGUUACGUGGUUCAGAGAACCAAGUUUGAUGUAGCGUCCGACUUAAACCAAACGAUUGAAAUCAAAGCGAUCAAUAGAAGUAUCGCGCUCAUUGUUAAAAAAGUUGGUAGCUAGAAAUGCUACAUGUUAAAAUGUGAUUAUAUCACAUUAGACCAUGAAGGAAGGCAUAUUCCAUUCCGGAAUUUGACUCUAAGAGACCUGAGUCUAAGCAUUGCUACAUACGAUGAUAGGUCAUUAGAAUAUGACACAUCGGUCAAUUGUAGUAAUCAAAUUAACGUAUCCUAAGUUUUCUAAGAAGAAGAAGGAGUCUCUGAUAAAGAAUGAGGUUGUGACACGAAGGUCAUGAUUGAAAGUCUAACGAGCAGGUGCAAGACCGAGCGCCGCCUGCAGUCAAGGAGUCCAAGAGUUAGAUACCCGUUUGAAGCAACAUAGAAGUUACAGUUAUUACCUAGGAUGAAGAGAUAACAUAUGGAGUCAUUAUAUUGUAAUCAUCUUAAGGGGGAGAUAAUUGUAACGCCCGCAGAUCUAGGCUAGUCAAUUUAGAGGAAAUAAGUGUCGAAAACGACUUUUCGGAAAAAUAUUAUUUAUAAUAAAUAGUCUUAACCAAGUUGUAUAAUAUGUCUCAAGGUUUCCGUACAUAUAAAGAACACCGAAAUCCGAGUUAUAACGAAGAAGUUAUGGCUCGUCGAAGUUUUACGGCAAAACCGGCACAACACCGGGAAGUGUAAAUAGUAAAUUUACGAUAGAGCUAUUUUUAGCCUUAGUGAUCUAAAACAAAGUUGUAGUAUACGUUAAACCGAGAACAUCCAUAAAAAGAACGCCCAAAUCUGACUCUGUAUGAGGGAGUUAUGAUUUUUCUAAGAUUUGACUUAGCAGUGCACGACCCGAAACUCGAAUUUUAGUUCGAGCGGUUUUUGGAUUACGCGACCUAAAUGAGAGUUGAAGACCUCAUUAAUAGGAACUCAACGGUAAAAAGAUAGACGAAAACGGAUUCCGUAUGAAGAGGUUACAAAUUCUUUGCGGUCAUUUAACAGUCUAAACGCCUCCUACUGUUAAAUUUGAGAUCGGUCGAGAAUUAGCCGACGGAGUCUAAACGAAAGUUGUAGAUCUUGAUUUUACCUACGCGUUGAAAAAAAGAAUGUCGAAAACAGAGCUUUUAUGCGAGAUUUAUAAUUUUUCUAUGUUUGAAGGCUGAUACGCGAUAGGAGGUGACGUGGCACCACCGGAAUUGGACACGUGGCACCACCAGAAGGCUGCCACAUGCCCCAAAUCGAUGAGUAGGUCCUCCUAAUCGGCGAUUCAAUCAGGAAUUCAGCCUAUAAAUAGAGGUUUCAGGUUCCUCCAUUUCCCACACCUUUCCCCACAUUUUUCUCUCUCUAAACUCUCUCUCUAGCCCCUAACCCCCCCUAAAAGCCUAGAUAAACCCCCUAGCACCCGCAGGAAGCCCCGAGGCUCCCGGAGUCUCGUGAAAAGAGCCUUUCGGCUCGGGAACGCUGCUCCAGCAAAGCCCGGUUUUUGUGAAAAACCCGUUGUAAGUGAGCUAUGCCUACCAUAUCUUUAGUAUAGCUUAUGUUUCAAUAUAGUAAUGUUAUUAGGACCUUAUAAGGAAUAUUUGGGGUAUUAGUAUGGGUUAUAUAAGUAUUGUUUAACGCUUAUAUAAUAGUAAUAAUAGCUAGACUAUUAAAUUAGUCUCUUCAAACGUUAGACUAAACUCUAGUGGUAAUGAUACUAGGUUUCGUCAAGGGAUAAUUGUUUUAAGAGUAACGAAGUGUUGUCCGAGUGCCGACUCACCACCUUACCAGGUGAGUGCAUAGUCCCUUUCAUCUUACACAUAGAUAUGAAGUAUUUUAAUAUAAAUUACGUGCUAUGUGUGCAUAUUGUCUGAAUCCUUGCUGUCUAUGCUGAUGAAAG